rnacentral:misc_RNA from 1 species
AAAGUCGUAACAAGGUUUCCGUAGGUGAACCUGCGGAAGGAUCAUUAUUGAAUAAACUUGGUUGGGUUGUUGCUGGCUUUUCGGAGCAUGUGCACGCCUAGCGCCAUUUUUACCACCUGUGCACUUCUUGUAGAUUUGAAACACCUUUCGAGGAAACUCGGUUUGAGGACUGCUAUGCGAAAGCUAAGCUUUCCUUGCGUUUCAAGUCUAUGUUUUUAUAUACCCCAGAAGAAUGUUUUAGAAUGUCAUUAAUGGGCUUCAUUGCCUCUAAAUUAAUACAACUUUCAACAACGGAUCUCUUGGCUCUC